UUCUAUAAAAGAUAAUCUAAAGUAAACAGUCGUGGAAAUAGAAUGUCAUAAAUCAAUUACAGUGGUCAGUGACUGGAAAUUUAAUUACACGUGUAUUGUCAGAUUAACUCUUCAAUCCAUUUAAAUCCCGGAGGUCAUGUUUUGACAUAUUUGUAUUAGUUCGAGAUAAAUAAUGAAUUUUGAAUGCUUUUGUUAACCUUGGGACUGUAAAUUUAGUUCGACUCAACCGAAAUUUCGACUCAUCCAAUUUCGAC
rnacentral:lncRNA from 1 species